rnacentral:rRNA from 1 species
UACGUAGGGAGCAAGCGUUGUCCGGGAUCAUUGGGCGUAAAGCGUGCGUAGGCGGUUUGUUAAGUCCGCUGUGAAAGCCCUGGGCUCAACCUGGGAAUUGCAGUGGAUACUGGCAAGCUAGAGUGCGGUAGAGGAUGGUGGAAUUCCCGGUGUAGCGGUGAAAUGCGUAGAGAUCGGGAGGAACACCCGUGGCGAAGGCGGCUUCCUGGACCAGAACUGACGAUCAGGCUCGAAAGCGUGGGGAGCAAACAGG